GUGAUGAAUGUGGUUCUCAAACAUUUUGGGGCUUGACCCCUUUUCCUUUCAUUCCCUGUAUCAGGGGUGGCGAACUAAGGUGCUGGAAGGCCAAUGUCUAGGAGAGUCUGGUGACUUUCCUGCUCUUAACACACCAACAAACCACCAAAACUGUGCAGGACUCAAUUCAUCCAGGACCAGAGUGUGCCAGCACAGGCAAUGGUGGAUUAUGGAUUCUACUCAUUCUGGAGAGUCUUCCUUACAGCUGGAAGUCCCCAAAUAAAAGCUGCUCAGCUAUUUAUUAC
ensembl:lncRNA